rnacentral:rRNA from 1 species
UACGUAGGGUGCGAGCGUUAAUCGGAAUUACUGGGCGUAAAGCGUGCGCAGGCGGUUUUGUAAGCCAGAUGUGAAAUCCCCGGGCUCAACCUGGGAAUGGCAUUUGGGACUGCAAGGCUGGAGUGCGGCAGAGGAGACUGGAAUUCCUGGUGUAGCAGUGAAAUGCGUAGAUAUCGGAAGGAACAUCUGUGGCGAAGGCGACUAUCUGGGCCAACACUGACACUGAGGCACGAAAGCGUGGGGAGCAAACAGG